UUUUAUAGACAGCAAUCAAAAAUUAAAUCAGAGAGGCGUUCGUUUUUUUUUUGUCUCGAUAAUCAAAAUUUUAAUAUUUGCACUGUGUGCUGUGUGAAACUCACAACUCACGAGCUCCCCUUCGUUGGCAAAUUUGGCGGUGUGUCACGGUUUUCGUGGUCCUGGCUGCAAAUACGGGCGAGUUAUAGGAUCCGUGCUCUCGGUGGGGUAACCGCCAAGCGCUGUAAAUUAUCUAAUUUUCAAUGUCGGUUCUGUUCCCAGCCGCCCCCAUUUGGGAUACUGAUUGGAUUUCAGUAUUGUUCCUAAUCUCCGCCCCACGCGGUAUGCGCACGAGUUAAUCGAAUCUGCCUUUUAUGUUAACGCAUUUUCAUAUCGGAAUCGCCUGCCACCCUGCCACCCAAUUUGGUUGUUUGCAUUCGAUUUGUUUCUCGCCAGGGUGUUUCGUUAUCUCUUAUUAUACUAAUUUCUGGCCAUAUUGCAAACAAUGUUCCAUCUAAAGGUAAUUUUGUUUAAUUUGAAGCCACAACUUAAGCACUGUUGGCAUCGUAAACCUAAGAACAAUCACCAUUCUUCUUGUCACGGCAAUAAAGUGGACAAUUUAGAAUAACUAUGGAGUGUUGAUAAGGCAAAGGUUCUAGCACAGCACAUGUGUGAGCCCAUAUCCAGUCACCUGCCAGACCCAAAUCCAGCCGUGACUGCCGAUGUGAGGACCGUUUAAUAAGGCACGGAUUAUCGCCCGGCAUUAUUUCAAUCACAUACCAAGUGUCGAGUAUUUAGCAGACAAGGAGCACGCGCUCGCCUCCACUGCCCGUUUCAUUUCCAGGGUACCAUCCCUGGUCCUGUCAGACUGAGGCGUCGGUUGACGUCGGGAGCGGGGGAGCGGGGGCCUUCCUAAAAAGCCAAUAAAAAUACUUUGUUUGACAAAU
ensembl:ncRNA lncRNA:CR44778 long non-coding RNA:CR44778